rnacentral:rRNA from 1 species
GAUGAACGCUGGCGGCGUGCCUAAUACAUGCAAGUCGAGCGAACAGACGAGGAGCUUGCUCCUCUGACGUUAGCGGCGGACGGGUGAGUAACACGUGGAUAACCUACCUAUAAGACUGGGAUAACUUCGGGAAACCGGAGCUAAUACCGGAUAAUAUAUUGAACCGCAUGGUUCAAUAGUGAAAGACUGUUUUGCUGUCACUUAUAGAUGGAUCCGCGCCGCAUUAGCUAGUUGGUAAGGUAACGGCUUACCAAGGCAACGAUGCGUAGCCGACCUGAGAGGGUGAUCGGCCACACUGGAACUGAGACACGGUCCAGACUCCUACGGGAGGCAGCAGUAGGGAAUCUUCCGCAAUGGGCGAAAGCCUGACGGAGCAACGCAGCGUGAGUGAUGAAGGUCUUCGGAUCGUAAAACUCUGUUAUUAGGGAAGAACAAAUGUGUAAGUAACUAUGCACGUCUUGACGGUACCUAAUCAGAAAGCCACGGCUAACUACGUG